CCAAGCUCCAUGCUGAUGUGUAGCAGACACUUUUUGUUGAGGAAUGAAAGCUUCAGAACAGAGAUUGGCGACCGUGGAGGGGUCAGAAGCUCUUAAAGAUUCUUGGGAAGACAAUUCUAAUCUAAACGAACCCUCUGCCACGUCCCCUCGACUCUGCUAAUCUUAAUUGAAUCAAUCUUCUGGAGUCUCUUGACAAUGAAAUAUUUGUAGGAACCUGGGCGGCCCCCUCUUCACAAGUGUAACCGUACAAUGAAAUCUCCCCCCGUAAUCAUUAAUUUGCUCGUUUGAUGUCAUUUUUCACUGUCUGCCUGGCUGGACCCUUCAGAACCAUAUCUCCCCCUCCUUCUCUCUAAUCAGGGCUAUGUUAAUCUAAGGAAAGAGGUCAUUUCAUCAUCAUUAUCAUCUGUAAAGCUCCAACAGAUGUGCAGUGGUAUACAAGACAUACAACAAUGAAGAGUGGCGGCCUUUUAGAGAAGGCCCAAACAGGAGAGAACAUGUCACAAAGCCACAAGAGGAUGACACACAAAUGAAGAAGAGGAAAGAAUGGCAAAACGUAGAGAUAUAAUGGCACAGAAAAUAGAGACAGUGGCACGAUGAGUAAAAAGCAGGGUACAACAGACAGGGAGCAAAUAUGGCACAAGUGGGAGAGAGCAUAGGCAAACGUUGGGCAGCACAGUAGCAGGAACGUAUGGCUCAGAUAGCGUACAGUGGUGAGAAAAUGGCACAGAUAGGAGAGAGGUUUUCUCAAAGGGGAGUGAAUAUGGCACAGAUGGGAGAGGAUGGCACAGAAGGAGAAGAAGAUGUGCAAACAGGAGAAGAUGGGACAGAAUGGGUAAAGAUGCCACAAACGUGGAAGAGGAUGGCACUAAUGGGAGAGAGGAUUUUUUUCAUGGGAAGAGAUAGUAAAAAAAAAAGAAGAUGUGUUAGAGUAUGGCCCAGAUCAAAACACAGGGUGUAUAGAUGGGAGAGGGAAUGUAACAGAAGGCCAAAGGAUUGCCCAAGAGAAGAACAUGGCAUAGAGAGAAAGGGUAUGGCUCAAAGUGGGUAAUAUAUACACAGAAUCAGAAGGGGUGGCACAAGUGUGUGGGGACAACUAAAAGGUGAGAUUAGUGAAAUGGACAUGAGGAUGGCAAGGGGAGUGGAACAGUUUGGUACAAAUCAGGCAGAGAAUGGCAGGGUAGAAAGGAUGGCACAAAAACAGAGAAUGUCACAGAGGUGAAUAUGAUUCAGAAGUCAUACAGAGGAAAGCACAAAGGAAAACUUGAUGGUGCAAAUGAAUGUGUUUGAGAAUAUGAUAACUGAUAACAUCUGUAUAUACGUAGAAGGAUUCUUAAAAUUGGUCCAAGGAAAAGAUUGAAGAUAAACUUGACCAUGCCUAUUCCAUCAUCACAAAUAAUAAUAAUAAAAAAAACAUAAAAUGAAAUGAACAUGUAUUGUAAUAUAUAAAACAAUGUA